GUGGGCUACUGAAUUCCAAGCUCGUAGCCCGGGCAUAUCACCUUCGAAGUUAAGCGUGCUUGGGCGAGAGUAGUACUAGGAUGGGUGACCUCCUGGGAAGUCCUCCUGUUGCAUUCC
rnacentral:rRNA from 16 species